rnacentral:rRNA from 1 species
CGGAACGUGCCCGAUCGUGGGGGAUAACGCAGCAAAAGCUGUGCUAAUACCGCAUACGAUCUACGGAUGAAAGCGGGGGAUCGCAAGACCUCGCGCGGACGGAGCGGCCGAUGGCAGAUUAGGUAGUUGGUGGGGUAAAGGCUCACCAAGCCUGCGAUCUGUAGCUGGUCUGAGAGGACGACCAGCCACACUGGGACUGAGACACGGCCCAGACUCCUACGGGAGGCAGCAGUGGGGAAUUUUGGACAAUGGGCGCAAGCCUGAUCCAGCCAUGCCGCGUGCAGGAUGAAGGCCUUCGGGUUGUAAACUGCUUUUGUACGGAACGAAAAGGUUCUUUCUAAUAAAGAGAGCUCAUGACGGUACCGUAAGAAUAAGCACCGGCUAACUACGUGCCAGCAGCCGCGGUAAUACGUAGGGUGCAAGCGUUAAUCGGAAUUACUGGGCGUAAAGCGUGCGCAGGCGGUGAUGUAAGACAGAUGUGAAAUCCCCGGGCUCAACCUGGGAACUGCAUUUGUGACUGCAUCGCUGGAGUGCGGCAGAGGGGGAUGGAAUUCCGCGU